rnacentral:misc_RNA from 1 species
GAUGAAAACGCAGCGAAAUGCGAUAAGUAAUGUGAAUUGCAGAAUUCAGUGAAUCAUCGAAUCUUUGAACGCACCUUGCGCCCUUUGGCCAUUCCGAAGGGCAUGCCUGUUUGAGUAUCAUGAACACCUCAACUCUCAUGGCUUGCCAUGAUGAGCUUGGACUUUGGGGGUCUUGCUGGCCUGCGGCCAGCUCCUCUCAAAUGAAUUAGCUUUCCAGUGUUUGGUUGGCAUCACAGGUGUGAUAACUAUCUACGCUUGUGGUUUCCACCAGGUAACCUUCAGUAACAUGGGGGUUUGCUGGAGCUCAUAAAUGUCUCUCCUCAGUGGGGACAGCUCUUUGAACGUUUGAUCUCAAAUCAGGUAGGACUACCCGCUGAACUUAAGCAUAUCAAUAAGCGGAGGA